rnacentral:rRNA from 1 species
UUUGACCUCAAAUCAAGUAGGACUACCC